UAUGUUUCGUGAUUUGGGGGAUUGAACCCAA
rnacentral:piRNA from 1 species